rnacentral:rRNA from 1 species
GACGAACGCUGGCGGCGUGCUUAACACAUGCAAGUCGAACGGAAAGGACUAUUACGGGGAAUACCCGAGUAGAGAACACGUGAGUAUAGGGGCAGAAGGGUGACUAACGCGUGGGCAAACUACCUCUAACAAGGGGAUAUACCCGGGAAGCCGUGCUUAAUACCAGAUGACACUUUCAUAAUUCAGCUGAAGGGUGUUAAAGCUACGGCGGUAAGCGUUGGGCUGGGGUCCCAUUAGCCAGUUGGUGUGGUAGCGGCCCACCAAGGCGACGACGGGUAACCGGCCUGGGAGGGUGACCGGCCACAUUGGGACUGGGAUACGGCCCAGACUCCUACGGGAGGCAGCAGUGGGGAAUAUUGCACAAGGGGUGGAAGCCUGAUGCAGCAACGCCGUGUGCGGGAUGACGGCCUUGGGGUUGGAAACCGAUUUCGCUCUUGAAUAAGAUUUGUGUGACGGUAGUGGGUAAAGAAGCACCGGCUAACUACGUG